AAGAGGACGGAGGACGUGACGUAAACGGAUGUGCGGGGCACUGCCCGAGAAGCUUCGUAAAUACCUAACCUAGUCAGUUCGGCGGAGGUGUGAGAGGAGUAAGAAGAGAAGAUGUCAGAACGGAAAGUUCUAAAUAAGUACUAUCCACCGGACUUCGACCCCUCGAAGAUCCCCAAACUCAAGCUGCCCAAGGACCGGCAGUACGUGGUGCGGCUGAUGGCCCCCUUCAACAUGAGGUGUAAGACAUGUGGAGAAUACAUCUACAAGGGGAAGAAAUUCAAUGCCCGAAAGGAGACUGUGCAGAAUGAGGUGUACCUGGGCCUGCCCAUCUUCCGCUUCUACAUCAAGUGCACGCGCUGUCUGGCAGAGAUUACAUUCAAGACAGACCCGGAGAACACAGACUACACCAUGGAGCACGGGGCCACUCGGAACUUCCAGGCGGAGAAGCUCCUGGAGGAGGAGGAGAAGCGGGUGCAGAAGGAGAGGGAGGACGAGGAGCUGAACAACCCCAUGAAGGUGCUGGAGAACCGCACAAAGGACUCAAAGCUGGAGAUGGAGGUGUUGGAGAACCUGCAGGAGCUCAAGGACCUGAACCAGCGGCAGGCACAUGUGGACUUCGAGGCCAUGCUUCGGCAGCACCGGCUGUCAGAAGAGGAGCUGCAGCAGCGGCAGCAGGAGGAAGACGAGCAGGAGACUGCCCCCGAGGUCUGUCACACAGGGCACUCCUGGAGGAGGCUCGGAAGCAAAGGCUCCUGGAGGACUCAGACUCAGAGGACGAGGCUGCACCUGCCCCGCCAGCCCUGUGGCCCCAGCCCACAGCCAUCCUGCAUGAGGCCCCAAAGGCCAAGAGGAAGAUGGACGGCAUGGGCGGCAGGUCACAGCUCUCUGGCCUGGUGGUGGUGAAGAAGACAAGGACAGAAGCAGAGUGUGCCGGCACCCAUAGGGGCCAGGCUCCUCUGGCAUCAUCAGGAGCCCCAGAGAGCAGAGGGGCUGUUGACCCCCCCUCCCUGCCACCUGGUACCUCCUCCCUGAGCCAGCUGGGAGCCUAUGGGGACAGCGAGGACAGUGACAACAGCGUCUGACCCCCACCACCCACCCCAGCCACGGGCAUCAUGGAGCGGCAAGUGAUUGGUCAGGAGGCCCCGCCAUCUCCCACAGCUACCAUGGACUCAGCAUCCCUCCUGUCUCCGGCUCCUCCUGCCCUUGUGUCAUGGGCUGUGCCACCCUGCCCUGUCCCCAGGUCACCUCCAUCCCUUCCACCCACAGAGCCAUCUGGAAGCAAUAAAAGGCGCUGUCUGUGGGC